rnacentral:rRNA from 1 species
UACGGGGGGGGCAAGCGUUGUUCGGAAUUACUGGGCGUAAAGGGCGCGUAGGUGGUUUGCUAAGUUGGAUGUGAAAACUCUGGGCUUAACCCAGAGCCUGCAUUCAAAACUGACAAGCUCGAGUUCUGGAGGGGGAAGCGGAAUUCCUGGUGUAGCGGUGAAAUGCGUAGAUAUCAGGAGGAACACCGGUGGCGAAGGCGGCUUCCUGGACAGAAACUGACACUGAGGCGCGAAAGCUAGGGGAGCAAAC